UACGAAGGGGGCUAGCGUUGUUCGGAAUUACUGGGCGUAAAGGGCUCGUAGGUGGCCAACUAAGUCAGACGUGAAAUCCCUCGGCUUAACCGGGGAACUGCGUCUGAUACUGGAUGGCUUGAGUUCGGGAGAGGGAUGCGGAAUUCCAGGUGUAGCGGUGAAAUGCGUAGAUAUCUGGAGGAACACCGGGUGGCGAAGGCGG
rnacentral:rRNA from 1 species